CACUGUUUAAACGACACGUGCAUCAAUUAUAUUUUAUAUGAAUAUAAAGAAGAUAAAUUUUGAAUACACGCUUUUUUCAUUAGUUCUAUCAGAAUUCUAAAAAGAUGGAAGUGAUACCUUUUAUUUUCCUAAUAUUCAGUAUUAUAGUUGCUGCUCUGGCUGAGGAAGUAAACGUACGAGAUGCUGAUGGUCUGAACGCUCAAACAAACAGCUUUUUUAAUAUGCUGCUAUCAGAAGCUCAACAAAUGACUACAGAAUGACUACUGUAAUUUUAGUUAUGAUGACUUACCACCUGUUAAUGCAUAUAAUAAUGAUUUCAAUUGUCUGAAAUAAAAUUAUUUAAAUAGCUA